rnacentral:lncRNA from 1 species
AGACUGCAGCCAUGUCACCUCCCUGAGCAGCAUGGUGACUGUCACAGAUUUGUGACUAGCUGAAUCCCACACACUUUCAUCAGUGUGUGUGUGUGUGUGUGUGUGUGUGUGUGUGUGUGUGUGUGUGUAGAUUCUGUGUAUAUUUGAGUUUUGUAUAUGUAUAUAUGUAGGAUGGUGUAGAUAUCUAUGUAUAUGUUCAACCUAUGUCACAUAUGUUACAUCUGUGUCAUGUAUGUUCUCUGGUGUGUGUGAAUGGCAUAUGUGCCCAUUCACAGAGUCUAGAGGAAGACACUGAUAUGUCUCUAUUAAUGAACCUUAUUUCAGAGUAGAACAGUAUAUUAGGAGUUCAUAGCAACUGGAAGUUGAUUUUGUUAGGUGGUAUAUUUGCUAACAGGUUAAGAUGGGAUUUUCUAGCUGGGAACCAGUAUGGACCUAAGAGCCCUGUGCACCCACUGCUGGCCAGCCUUGCCUACCUCAGGAUGCCUGAGGACAGGUUGUAAGGUUUGUGAGGACACUGUCAAUUUUCUGUGAGAGACAAAGUUUAAAAAGUGAGGCACAGAACUUGAACCCAACUGAUAAACA